UACUGAGGGUGCAAGCGUUGCUCGGAAUUAUUGGGCGUAAAGGGUAGGUAGGUGGUCUCAUUUGUCUGGGGUGAAAGCCUUGAGCUUAACUCAAGAAGUGCCCCAGAAACGGUGAGACUGGAGUCCUGGAGAGGGUCGUGGAAUUCCCGGUGUAGCGGUGAAAUGCGUAGAGAUCGGGAGGAACACCAGAGGCGAAAGCGGCGACCUGGACAGGUACUGACACUCAACUACGAAAGCGUGGGGAGCAAACAGG
rnacentral:rRNA from 1 species